rnacentral:rRNA from 1 species
UCCCAGCAGUCCGAGUAGCAGCCACAUUUAUUAGGUCUAAAACAUUCGUAGCUGGUUUAGCAAGUCUUUUGUGAAAUGUUACAGCUUAACUGUAACGCGUGCAAGAGAUACUACUGAGCUAGAGACUGGAAGACGUAAAGAGUACAAUUGAGGUAGCGGUAAAAUGUUUUAAUCUUAAUUGGACUAACAAUGGCGAAGGCACUUUACGAGGACAGAUCUGACAGUGAGGAAUGAAGGCCAGGGGCGCAAAUUG